CCCACCAAAAUUUAUAUUAAAACGUGAUCACCCGGUUACCAGUUUCUGAGGGCUUGAUGGGCUGCUCAGCGGCCUCGUUCCGCUGUCUCGCCGCUCUUGUCGUCCUGAGUGGCGCGGGACCGUCACUUGGGCUAAGGAUUUGUCGUCGUAUGCGGACUCACGGUAGCUAACGGCUGCGAUCCCCAAGGCAAACGCCUAGUGAAACCGAAACACGCCAACCCACGUCUGCUCGGACUGGUGGCGCCGGUACCACGUCUGCUCGGAUCGCACGGACACACCAGUUUUUGCCACGCCCACUCUAACGCCAAGAAACCGCCAAAAACUGUCAGUGCUGAA